rnacentral:lncRNA from 1 species
UAGUUUAGUUGGUCACGAACUCAGAAAGAGGCAACACAUCGUCAUUACUUAGGUGACGGAGUUUGGGCAAAAUUGGGAAAAUAUAUAACUAAAAGACCUCGAACAUCAGCCAAUAACCCAUACUAAUAAUAAUCAAGCAGUAGUUAUAUCUGGAGACUUAUUUACAAGAAAGGAAAAAGGUUAUAAUACCGCCGAUGUGUUGCUUUGCUCAAAUUCCGUCCCUUAGCUACUUGUCACACAGACACUUAGCCUAGUCAAUUUAUAUAGAUUGUAUCAUCAUUUAAUGUGCCAUCAUAUAAAUAUGUGCCAGUUACUGUAAGCAGCUAGGGUAUGGGUUACCCCUAGAGUUACUUUUGAUUGGAUUGGAUAGUACCUAUUUCACAACAUCCAGGAUUGGAUUUAUCACCACAGCAGCCCACUAGUUUUUGCCGUGCCAAGAGGAAAUUCAUUCCUAUCUGGACCUUUUUAAAUAGGACUUGUGGUUAAGAUAAGUUGUUUAAUCUUAUUAUUUACAUAUUUUGGGUACUCUAUAGUUGCUUGCACUGUAAACUUCUUGUAUGCAUACAAUUGAGGUAAACUAGGUACAUAUUUCUUGAUAGAUAGGGUUUUAGGUCGUUGGUUUUUUUUUUGAUUUAAUAUAAGUAGUUUCCAAUAAAUAAAAUUAGGUCUUGUUCAAUAAUCAUUAUAAAUAAUAAUUGUAGCUUAAAAAUUUGAUAGGAAAGGGGUCGUUAAAGAUUUGUCGCGGAUUUCAAAUAGGGAAUAUGUCUUGUAGGUUUUUACAUUGUAUAUAAAGAGUAACUGACCAACUCAUUUAUACAACUCAUUUAUAUCACUCAUUUAUAUAACUCAUUUAUAUAACUCAUUAUAUAUUUACUUAUUAGUGUUUUUGCUAGGUGAGAUCUUUAUUAUUUUUGGUAACCGUAGCGUUCUUGUUGUGGAUCUCACUCUAGCGUAGUUCAAUUUAGGAAAUAAUUACUAACUUUUUAGUUGUAAGGACUUAGUGCUAUUCUGACGGACUUUUGCUUUGGAUUUUGAUUUUAAUACCUUUGCUUGGCCAGUGAUAGUGGAUAAUUGCUUGUUAAGUGGCCUUUGCGGUCCUAUUUGAUCUUCUCCCCAUCCACUAUCACUGUUAUCACGUUGCGUUAUAUGUAAAUUGUUAGUAUUUAACAUUUAUUAUUAAUAUAUUUGUAUGUAUUAA